GGAGUGCUGGAAAGAGUAAUCUAGAUGAAAUUAAAAUUGAAAAAAGGGGACGCGUCCGAGACGGUUUCAACGUUGUAUCGAAGACGAUUUCUUUGCUUUACUUUUGUUCUAUGAUUUAGGUACAGUUGUUAGGAACUUAUCGGAGCCGCAUAGUUACACGAUUUUUUGUCAAUACGACACAGAGCUUCGCGGCUACGAAGAUUGAUAGCGGAGAAAUGGUGGUAGCGAACGUGUUAAGCCCUCUCGGAUAAUAGCAGCGCGCCUAAUAGUCAUUGAUUACAAGCGACGCGUGUCCUCUGGCUUAAAGACGCUUCCUUCGGCAAAGGAGCUCUUAACGAAUAGUGAACGGGACCAUUCGAGGUAAUUCAAACGUGAUUAUUGUUCAUAACAGGCGCACAACUGGUCGUUUGUGGGCGCAUAAAAGGACGCCUAACCGCGCCGCAGAGCUGAAUGCCUGAUAGAGGUGGGCUACUCGAUGAGAAUGCAAGUUGCACCGAUGCAAGUCGAAAACGGGUCAUGUUCGUGUUGCAUUGAACACGCAACACCCGUCGUCCAUCGCACUAAAUAUCUAAUGACUUAAUGCGACUAAUGUGAUUGGAAAUAUGGAUGAUCUUAGGAACGGUGGCAGAGAGUCGAAAUUACCGUAGAAUAUUUUUUACGAUUAAUGAGAAAGCGUGAAUUUGCCGCGUCUAUGCUAUAUCUUUAUUAGUACAAUCGUUGCUAAUGAUUUGUCUGUGAAAUAUUUGUAUUCGCGUACCAAGGGAUCAGGGGUCAAAUAAUUCAAAGUAGAGUCAUGUAUAAUUAUUACGUAACCGUGUGUUAGCGGUUAACCGUGUCAUGAUCAGCUUGUUGUAGCACACUUUAUUAAGGUAAUAGUUAGCUCAGCGUGGCAUACAUGUGUCCGCACGGUCUCCCAGGGAAACAUAAAAAACACCGUGGAGUCCGGUGGCGAUGUCUAAUUAAAAAGAAAAAAAACCACUCCUAUCCAAUUAUUUUGAGUACGCGUUAAAGGAAAAGUCGAUACCAGCCCCGGAGAGAAAUUGCAGUUCGCAUCUGUUCCCUCCUUUCGCUGAUUCUUCGUUCGCAGAGUGAUUUCGCCUCGGUGCAAUAUCAAUUUCCUCACAAUAUCAGCGUUAACGAACCGUUGUACGUAGUAGUUAUCUAUAUAUCCCGCAGAAUUGACAAGGAUGAUCGGUUAUUCGUACGCGAUAUCGAUUAAAUAAUAAUCAGCCCACGUGAUGCACGUGACAAGCUUCGGAAAGCACGAUUUUAGCUCGUGCAGAAAAAGUUAUAAAAUAAUAAUUUGUUGCAGCGAGAGAAGUCACAGGUAGAAAUUGACACCCUACAGCACGCAACCUACCGUUCACCGUAUGAAGAGAUAACUGGUUGCAUACUAAAGGGUCGCGUUCAUAGGACACGAAGUGGAGUGAGCUUCGAUAAUUUCUUUUUUCAUUGGAAAAUCAUUAUGCGAUUCUAAGUUGUAUAACUUUAUCUACGAACACGAUAAAAUUAAUGUAAGUAUGAAUAAAAUCAAGGGAGUGUAAAGUUUUGUUAUUAAAACAGACGAAAUAAUUAGUUCCUAUCGUUAGCAAUUUUAAAAAUAUUUGAAGGAAGGGUGGAUCUGCAAUGGCUGUGUAAUAUACAUUAAUUAUUCGACCAUAAACGGGUUUAUUUAAACAUUUCAAAAAUUACAAUUCGCAUACAAAAUUGAUUUGCCGAAUUGUAUGGCAUAUUGUACAGUGGAAUAUGUCAUUUAUUAAAUAAAAAAUAUAAUUAACUUGUUCUUAA